GUGAAGGUGGCUCAGUGGUAGAGUGCUUGCCUCACAUGCAGGGGCCCUGGGUUCAAUUCCUCAGCAACACA
rnacentral:tRNA from 1 species